AGACAUUUCAGAUGCAACCAUUGCCGUAUAUGAGACGUGAUGGCAUCAAUUGAGCGCGUGUUAAUGAGCACGUUGAAGUAUUUCAGCUCCUAACCUGUUCUGUGCAUUACAGACUUUCUCUGAAUACCCACUGAUUCCAUGAUAACCUUUAGUAGUCCACUCUGUGAGGGGUUUCUCCUUCACCUUCAUCUGACAGUAUUAUCUAGAAGGAUUUGGUCAGAUACUGAUGUUAAAAAUGGUGCUCUAGACUUUCAUUUAGACUCUGCAUCGUUGGCUUGGAGAGGCAUCAUGUCCAGGCUACGCUCCAACCACUGUCAGUUUAAACUGAGAGGACGGGCUUGGAGAGGCAUCAUGUCCAGGCUACGCUCCAACCACUGUCCGUUUAAACUGAGAGGACGGGCUUGGAGAGGCAUCAUGUCCAGGCUACGCUCCAACCACUGUCAGUUUAAACUGAGAGGACGGGCUUGGAGAGGCAUCAUGUCCAGGCUACGCUCCAACCACUGUCAGUUUAAACUGAGAGGACGGGCUUGGAGAGGCAUCAUGUCCAGGCUACGCUCCAACCACUGUCAGUUUAAACUGAGAGGACGGGCUUGGAGAGGCAUCAUGUCCAGGCUACGCUCCAACCACUGUCAGUUUAAACUGAGAGGACGGGCUUGGAGAGGCAUCAUGUCCAGGUUACGCUCCAACCACUGUCAGUUUAAACUGAGAGGACGGAAGAGGGUCCCUUCAUCUGUCGACUGUUGUCUCUCAACCCUGUCACUUUUCAGAUUGAUCUGGAAUGUAUUCUAUAAUGGAUGUAUUUUAACAUCAUUGAGUCUCAUAUCAAAAGUAUUAUAACUAGCUAACUAUAUAACAACAACAAAAAUAUGCUAAUUGUACACUUUGAGUCUUUCACUUGUUGUGAAGAUUUCACUACACAGUAUAGCUGAAUGGAAGUUGUUCCUUUUAACAACAACUGCUUCCAUUUCAUUACGAUUCAUAACCAACAAGUCAUUUCUUUUAGAGGUUGUUGAAGUUUGGAACGUUUGAUAUUUAGUGUGUUAUGUGACGAGUGUGAGGAUGGACAGGCCUUGUGGUCUUCUAAAGUGUGAGGAUGGACAGGCCUUGUGGUCUUCUAAAGUGUGAGGAUGGACAGGCCUUGUGGUCUUCUAAAGUGUGAG
ensembl:lncRNA